AAAACCUUACCUACCUUGACAUAGUCCGGAAUCCCGAAGAGGAUUUCGGGAGUGCUACGCAAGAGAACCGGAACACGAGGUGCUGCAUGGCUGUCGUCAGCUCGUGUCGUGAGAUGUUGGGUUAAGUCCCGCAACGAGCGCAACCCUUGUCAUUAGUUGCCAUCAUUGGUUGGGCACUCUAAUGAGACUGCCGGUGACAAACCGGAGGAAGGUGGGGAUGACGUCAAGUCCUCAUGGCCCUUAUGGGUAGGGCUUCACACGUCAUACAAUGGUCGGUACAGAGGGUUGCCAACCCGCGAGGGGGAGCUAAUCCCACAAAGCCGAUCGUAGUCCGGAUCGCAGUCUGCAACUCGACUGCGUGAAGUCGGAAUCGCUAGUAAUCGUGGAUCAGCAUGUCACGGUGAAUACGUUCCCGGGUCUU
rnacentral:rRNA from 1 species